GGCGUAAAGAGAGUGCAGGCGGUUUUCUAAGUCUGAUGUGAAAGCCUUCGGCUUAACCGGAGAAGUGCAUCGGAAACUGGAUAACUUGAGUGCAGAAGAGGGUAGUGGAACUCCAUGUGUAGCGGUGGAAUGCGUAGAUAUAUGGAAGAACACCAGUGGCGAAGGCGGCUACCUGGUCUGCAACUGACGCUGAGACUNGAAAGCAUGGGUAGCGANCAGGAUUAGAUACCCUGGUAGUCCAUGCCGUAAACGAUGAGUGCUAGGUGUUGGAGGGUUUCCGCCCUUCAGUGCCGGAGCUAACGCAUUAAGCACUCCGCCUGGGGAGUACGNCCGCAAGGUUGAAACUCAAAGGAAUUGACGGGGGCCCGCACAAGCGGUGGAGCAUGUGGUUUAAUUCGAAGCUACGCGAAGAACCUUACCAGGUCUUGACAUCUUGCGCCAACCCUAGAGAUAGGGCGUUUCCUUCGGGAACGCAAUGACAGGUGGUGCAUGGUCGUCGUCAGCUCGUGUCGUGAGAUGUUGGGUUAAGUCCCGCAACGAGCGCAACCCUUGUUACUAGUUGCCAGCAUUAAGUUGGGCACUCUAGUGAGACUGCCGGUGACAAACCGGAGGAAGGUGGGGACGACGUCAGAUCAUCAUGCCCCUUAUGACCUGGGCUACACACGUGCUACAAUGGACGGUACAACGAGUCGCGAACUCGCGAGGGCAAGCAAAUCUCUUAAAACCGUUCUCAGUUCGGACUGCAGGCUGCAACUCGCCUGCACGAAGUCGGAAUCGCUAGUAAUCGCGGAUCAGCAUGCCGCGGUGAAUACGUUCCCGGGCCUUGUACACACCGCCCGUCACACCAUGAGAGUUUGUAACACCCAAAGUCGGUGGGGUAACCUUUUAGGAGCCAGCCGCCUAAGGUGGGACAGAUGAUAGG
rnacentral:rRNA from 1 species